rnacentral:rRNA from 1 species
CCUACGGGAGGCAGCAGUGGGGAAUAUUGGACAAUGGGCGAAAGCCUGAUCCAGCAAUGCCGCGUGAGUGAAGAAGGCCUUCGGGUUGUAAAGCUCUUUUACCCGGGAAGAUAAUGACUGUACCGGGAGAAUAAGCCCCGGCUAACUCCGUGCCAGCAGCCGCGGUAAUACGGAGGGGGCUAGCGUUGUUCGGAAUUACUGGGCGUAAAGCGUACGUAGGCGGCUUUCUAAGUCAGAGGUGAAAUCCCACGACUCAAUCGUGGAACUGCCUUUGAGACUGGAUCGCUUGAAGAUGGGAGAGGUAAGUGGAAUUCCGAGUGUAGAGGUGAAAUUCGUAGAUAUUCGGAAGAACACCAGUGGCGAAGGCGGCUUACUGGACCAUUCUUGACGCUGAGGUACGAAAGCGUGGGGAGCAAACAGGAUUAGAUACCCUGGUAGUCCACGCCGUAAACGAUGAUAACUAGCUGUCGGGGCUCUUAGAGCUUCGGUGGCGCAGCUACGACAUAGUUAUCGUCCGUCGGGUAGGUACGGCCGCGAACGUAAACGUAACGAAGAAGUAGACGGCGNGAGACGUGUCGACGACGACGACGAGGGAGGUAGG